rnacentral:rRNA from 1 species
GCCCCGGUAAACGGCGGCCGUAACUAUAACGGUCCUAAGGUAGCGAAAUUCCUUGUCGGGUAAGUUCCGACCUGCACGAAUGGCGUAAUGAUGGCCAGGCUGUCUCCACCCGAGACUCAGUGAAAUUGAACUCGCUGUGAAGAUGCAGUGUACCCGCGGCAAGACGGAAAGACCCCGUGAACCUUUACUAUAGCUUGACACUGAACAUUGAGCCUUGAUGUGUAGGAUAGGUGGGAGGCUUUGAAGUGUGGACGCCAGUCUGCAUGGAGCCGACCUUGAAAUACCACCCUUUAAUGUUUGAUGUUCUAACGUUGGCCCGUAAUCCGGGUUGCGGACAGUGUCUGGUGGGUAGUUUGACUGGGGCGGUCUCCUCCUAAAGAGUAACGGAGGAGCACGAAGGUUGGCUAAUCCUGGUCGGACAUCAGGAGGUUAGUGCAAUGGCAUAAGCCAGCUUGACUGCGAGCGUGACGGCGCGAGCAGGUGCGAAAGCAGGUCAUAGUGAUCCGGUGGUUCUGAAUGGAAGGGCCAUCGCUCAACGGAUAAAAGGUACUCCGGGGAUAACAGGCUGAUACCGCCCAAGAGUUCAUAUCGACGGCGGUGUUUGGCACCUCGAUGUCGGCUCAUCACAUCCUGGGGCUGAAGUAGGUCCCAAGGGUAUGGCUGUUCGCCAUUUAAAGUGGUACGCGAGCUGGGUUUAGAACGUCGUGAGACAGUUCGGUCCCUAUCUGCCGUGGGCGCUGGAGAACUGAGGGGGGCUGCUCCUAGUACGAGAGGACCGGAGUGGACGCAUCACUGGUGUUCGGGUUGUCAUGCCAAUGGC